rnacentral:lncRNA from 1 species
GGAAAGGCCACCUGGGGACAGAGAAAGAAGGCACCUGUCUACAAGCUGAGAAGAGAGGCCUCAGGAGACACCAGCCCUGCCAGCACCUUGAUUUUGGAUUCCAGCCUUCAGAACGAUCACUGAUUUCAAAGAGUUACAGUGAAAGCAGGUGCUUCACAUGCAUGAGGACGUGCUGCAAAGAUGAUUGGACAGGACAUCAGGGAUUCCAGAAAUUACCUGUGGUAAUGCUGCUAACUAGCUCCCUUGAUA